UACGGAGGGUGCAAGCGUUAUCCGGAUUCACUGGGUUUAAAGGGUGCGUAGGCGGGCAGGUAAGUCCGUGGUGAAAUCUCUGAGCUUAACUCAGAAACUGCCAUGGAUACUAUUUGUCUUGAAUACUGUGGAGGUGAGCGGAAUAUGUCAUGUAGCGGUGAAAUGCUUAGAUAUGACAUAGAACACCAAUUGCGAAGGCAGCUUACUACACAACGAUUGACGCUGAGGCACGAAAGCGUGGGGAUCAAACAGG
rnacentral:rRNA from 1 species